UACGUAGGGUGCAAGCGUUGUCCGGAAUUAUUGGGCGUAAAGAGCUCGUAGGCGGUUUGUCGCGUCUGCUGUGAAAACUCGGGGCUUAACUCCGGGCCUGCAGUCGAUACGGGCAGACUUGAGUUCGGUAGGGGAGACUGGAAUUCCUGGUGUAGCGGUGAAAUGCGCAGAUAUCAGGAGGAACACCAGUGGCGAAGGCGACUCACUGGACACAUAUUGACGCUGAGGUGCGAAAGCGUGGGGAGCAAACAGG
rnacentral:rRNA from 1 species